GUCGGCAGGCCUAACACAUGCAAGUCGAACGGUAACAGAAAGCAGCUUGCUGCUUUGCUGACGAGUGGCGGACGGGUGAGUAAUGUCUGGGAAACUGCCCGAUGGAGGGGGAUAACUACUGGAAACGGUAGCUAAUACCGCAUAACGUCGCAAGACCAAAGAGGGGGACCUUCGGGCCUCUUGCCAUCGGAUGUGCCCAGAUGGGAUUAGCUAGUAGGUGGGGUAAAGGCUCACCUAGGCGACGAUCCCUAGCUGGUCUGAGAGGAUGGCCAGCCACACUGGAACUGAGACACGGUCCAGACUCCUACGGGAGGCAGCAGUGGGGAAUAUUGCACAAUGGGCGCAAGCCUGAUGCAGCCAUGCCGCGUGUAUGAAGAAGGCCUUCGGGUUGUAAAGUACUUUCAGCGGGGAGGAAGGGAGUAAAGUUAAUACCUUUGCUCAUUGACGUUACCCGCAGAAGAAGCACCGGCUAACUCCGUGCCAGCAGCCGCGGUAAUACGGAGGGUGCAAGCGUUAAUCGGAAUUACUGGGCGUAAAGCGCACGCAGGCGGUUUGUUAAGUCAGAUGUGAAAUCCCCGGGCUCAACCUGGGAACUGCAUCUGAUACUGGCAAGCUUGAGUCUCGUAGAGGGGGGUAGAAUUCCAGGUGUAGCGGUGAAAUGCGUAGAGAUCUGGAGGAAUACCGGUGGCGAAGGCGGCCCCCUGGACGAAGACUGACGCUCAGGUGCGAAAGCGUGGGGAACAAACAGGAUUAGAUACCCUGGUAGUCCACGCCGUAAACGAUGUCGACUUGGAGGUUGUGCCCUUGAGGCGUGGCUUCCGGAGCUAACGCGUUAAGUCGACCGCCUGGGGAGUACGGCCGCAAGGUUAAAACUCAAAUGAAUUGACGGGGGCCCGCACAAGCGGUGGAGCAUGUGGUUUAAUUCGAUGCAACGCGAAGAACCUUACCUGGUCUUGACAUCCACGGAAGUUUUCAGAGAUGAGAAUGUGCCUUCGGGAACCGUGAGACAGGUGCUGCAUGGCUGUCGUCAGCUCGUGUUGUGAAAUGUUGGGUUAAGUCCCGCAACGAGCGCAACCCUUAUCCUUUGUUGCCAGCGGUCCGGCCGGGAACUCAAAGGAGACUGCCAGUGAUAAACUGGAGGAAGGUGGGGAUGACGUCAAGUCAUCAUGGCCCUUACGACCAGGGCUACACACGUGCUACAAUGGCGCAUACAAAGAGAAGCGACCUCGCGAGAGCAAGCGGACCUCAUAAAGUGCGUCGUAGUCCGGAUUGGAGUCUGCAACUCGACUCCAUGAAGUCGGAAUCGCUAGUAAUCGUGGAUCAGAAUGCCACGGUGAAUACGUUCCCGGGCCUUGUACACACCGCCCGUCACACCAUGGGAGUGGGUUGCAAAAGAAGUAGGUAGCUUAACCUUCGGGAGGGCGCUUACCACUUUGUGAUUCAUGACUGGGG
rnacentral:rRNA from 1 species